rnacentral:rRNA from 1 species
AACGCGAAGAACCUUACCUGGGCUCGAAAUGUAGAGGACGAUUACAGAGAUGUAAUUUCCCGAAAGGGUCUCUAUAUAGGUGCUGCAUGGCUGUCGUCAGCUCGUGCCGUGAGGUGUUUGGUUAAGUCCAGCAACGAGCGCAACCCUUAUCGUUAGUUGCCAGCGCGUAAAGGCGGGAACUCUAACGAGACUGCCUGGGUUAACCAGGAGGAAGGUGAGGAUGACGUCAAGUCCGCAUGGCCUUUAUGUCCAGGGCUACACACGUGCUACAAUGGUCGGUACAGAAGGCAGCGAAACCGCAAGGCGGAGCAAAUCCUGAAAAACCGAUCUCAGUUCAGAUUGUAGUCUGCAACUCGACUACAUGAAGUUGGAAUUGCUAGUAAUGGCGUGUCAGCAACAACGCCGUGAAUACGUUCCCGGGCCUUGUA